AUUGAACGCUGGCGGCAUGCCUUACACAUGCAAGUCGAACGGCAGCACGGGAGCAAUCCUGGUGGCGAGUGGCGAACGGGUGAGUAAAGUAUCGGAACGUGCCCAGUCGUGGGGGAUAACGUAGCGAAAGUUACGCUAAUACCGCAUACGAUCUAUGGAUGAAAGCGGGGGAUCGCAAGACCUCGCGCGAUUGGAGCGGCCGAUAUCAGAUUAGGUAGUUGGUGGGGUAAAGGCUCACCAAGCCGACGAUCUGUAGCUGGUCUGAGAGGACGACCGGCCACACUGGGACGGAGACACGGCCCAGACUCCUACGGGCGGCAGCAGUGGGGAAUUUUGGACAAUGGGCGCAAGCCUGAUCCAGCCAUGCCGCGUGCAGGAUGAAGGCCUUCGGGUUGUAAACUGCUUUUGUACGGAACGAAAAGGUUUGGCCUAAUAAGCUGAGCUCAUGACGGUACCGUAAGAAUAAGCACCGGCUAACUACGUGCCAGCAGCCGCCGUAA
rnacentral:rRNA from 1 species